rnacentral:rRNA from 1 species
AGUGAACGCUGGCGGUAGGCCUAACACAUGCAAGUCGAACGGCAGCACAGUAAGAGCUUGCUCUUACGGGUUGCGAGUGGCGGACGGGUGAGGAAUACAUCGGAAUCUACUUUUUCGUGUGGGCUAACGUAGGGAAACUUACGCUAAUACCGCAUACGACCUACGGUUGAAAGCAGGGGAUCUUCUGACCUUGCGCGAUUGAAUGAGCCGAUGUCGGAUUAGCUAGUUGGCGGGGUAAAGGCCCACCAAGGCGACGAUCCGUAGCUGGUCUUAGAGGAUGAUCAGCCACACUGGAACUGAGACACGGUCCAGACUCCUAAGGGAGGCAGCAGUGGGGAAUAUUGGACAAUGGGCGCAAGCCUGAUCCAGCCAUACCGCGUGGGUGAAGAAGGCCUUCGGGUUGUAAAGCCCUUUUGUUGGGAAAGAAAAGCAGCAGGUUAAUACCCCGCUGUUCUGACGGUACCCAAAGAAUAAGCACCGGCUAACUUCGUG